UUUGGACGAGGGGCCCCUCUCGGGUUACCGAAUUCAGACAAACUCCGAAUGCCAAUUAAUUUAACUUGGGAGUCAGAACAUGGGUGAUAAGGUCCGUGUUCGAAAGGGAAACAGCCCAGACCACCAGCUAAGGUCCCAAAAUAUAUGUUAAGUGGAAAAGGAUGUGGCGUUGCCCAGACAACUAGGAUGUUGGCUUAGAAGCAGCCAUCAUUUAAAGAGUGCGUAAUAGCUCACUAGUCGAGUGACACUGCGCCGAAAAUGUACCGGGGCUAAACAUAUUACCGAAGCUGUGGAUUGUCCUUUGGACAAUGGUAGGAGAGCGUUCUAAGGGCGUUGAAGCAUGAUCGUAAGGACAUGUGGAGCGCUUAGAAGUGAGAAUGCCGGUGUGAGUAGCGAAAGACGGGUGAGAAUCCCGUCCACCGAUUGACUAAGGUUUCCAGAGGAAGGCUCGUCCGCUCUGGGUUAGUCGGGUCCUAAGCUGAGGCCGACAGGCGUAGGCGAUGGAUAACAGGUUGAUAUUCCUGUACCACCUAUAAUCGUUUUAAUCGAUGGGGGGACGCAGUAGGAUAGGCGAAGCGUGCGAUUGGAUUGCACGUCUAAGCAGUAAGGCUGAGUAUUAGGCAAAUCCGGUACUCAUUAAGGCUGAGCUGUGAUGGGGAGAAGACAUUGUGUCUUCGAGUCGUUGAUUUCACACUGCCGAGAAAAGCCUCUAGAUAGAAAAUAGGUGCCCGUACCGCAAACCGACACAGGUAGUCAAGAUGAGAAUUCUAAGGUGAGCGAGCGAACUCUCGUUAAGGAACUCGGCAAAAUGACCCCGUAACUUCGGGAGAAGGGGUGCUCUUUAGGGUUAACGCCCAGAAGAGCCGCAGUGAAUAGGCCCAAGCGACUGUUUAUCAAAAACACAGGUCUCUGCUAAACCGUAAGGUGAUGUAUAGGGGCUGACGCCUGCCCGGUGCUGGAAGGUUAAGAGGAGUGGUUAGCUUCUGCGAAGCUACGAAUCGAAGCCCCAGUAAACGGCGGCCGUAACUAUAACGGUCCUAAGGUAGCGAAAUUCCUUGUCGGGUAAGUUCCGACCCGCACGAAAGGCGUAACGAUUUGGGCACUGUCUCAACGAGAGACUCGGUGAAAUCAUAGUACCUGUGAAGAUGCAGGUUACCCGCGACAGGACGGAAAGACCCCGUGGAGCUUUACUGUAGCCUGAUAUUGAAAUUCGGCACAGCUUGUACAGGAUAGGUAGGAGCCUUUGAAACGUGAGCGCUAGCUUACGUGGAGGCGCUGGUGGGAUACUACCCUAGCUGUGUUGGCUUUCUAACCCGCACCACUUAUCGUGGUGGGAGACAGUGUCAGGCGGGCAGUUUGACUGGGGCGGUCGCCUCCUAAAAGGUAACGGAGGCGCUCAAAGGUUCCCUCAGAAUGGUUGGAAAUCAUUCAUAGAGUGUAAAGGCAUAAGGGAGCUUGACUGCGAGACCUACAAGUCGAGCAGGGUCGAAAGACGGACUUAGUGAUCCGGUGGUUCCGCAUGGAAGGGCCAUCGCUCAACGGAUAAAAGCUACCCCGGGGAUAACAGGCUUAUCUCCCCCAAGAGUUCACAUCGACGGGGAGGUUUGGCACCUCGAUGUCGGCUCAUCGCAUCCUGGGGCUGUAGUCGGUCCCAAGGGUUGGGCUGUUCGCCCAUUAAAGCGGUACGCGAGCUGGGUUCAGAACGUCGUGAGACAGUUCGGUCCCUAUCCGUCGUGGGCGUAGGAAAUUUGAGAGGAGCUGUCCUUAGUACGAGAGGACCGGGAUGGACAUACCUCUGGUGUACCAGUUGUCGUGCCAACGGCAUAGCUGG
rnacentral:rRNA from 1 species